UUCAUAAUGUUGUCUGAGCAUGUCCUGACCGCUCGCCAAAUGUAACCUUGAAUACUAUGUUAUUUAUUGAAAAAGCUUCAUUUAGUAACUCCUCGUAUCUCCUGACAUGUCUCUUGUAGCUAAGUCUCGACGUACACUCUGAAUUGUAAUGUUUACAUCCAGAUAGCUGGCGGUCACCGCCGACUAGCCUGACUACCGUGGAGCAGCGCUGCUGCUUCUGCAGCCAGUCAAGAUGGACACCGCAGACGAAGCAGACAUCUGCAGGGUAUGCCGGUCGGAGGGCACCCAGGACAAGCCCCUCUACCAUCCCUGUGUGUGCACUGGCAGUAUCAAGUUUAUCCACCAAGAAUGCUUACUGCAAUGGUUGAAACACAGCAGAAAAGAAUACUGUGAACUAUGCAAACACAGGUUUGCAUUUACACCAAUCUACUCUCCAGACAUGCCAUCUCGCCUGCCUGUCCAGGAUAUCUUCGCUGGGUUGGUCACCAGUAUUGGAACAGCUAUCAGAUACUGGUUUCACUACACACUGGUGGCCUUUGCCUGGCUUGGUGUGGUGCCUCUCACAGCAUGUCGGAUUUACAAGUGUUUAUUUACUGGCUCUGUGAGCUCUCUUCUUACCCUGCCAUUAGAUAUGCUUUCAACACAAAACCUGCUUGCAGACUGUCUCCAAGGCUGUUUUGUGGUCACUUGCACUCUGUGCGCUUUCAUCAGCCUGGUUUGGCUCAGAGAGCAGAUUGUCCAUGGUGGUGCUCCUCUCUGGUUAGAUCAGCAUCAACCCCCACUGGUCCCUAACAACCCUCAUGGUCUUGCACCAGCUAAUGAGGUCCCAGGUGGUAACAUUGACGUCAAUGCGCAGCCUGCUGCAGAUGAUGCAGAAGCCCGGCACCCCGCUGACCCUGCUCCAGAUGGGCUGGCACCUGCUAACCCAAAUGCAGCUGUUAACCAAGGAGAGGAGGCUGAACUUGAUGAUGAAGAAGAAGAUGAUGACGGGGAGGAAGAUGAGGAGGAGGAGGACGAUGUGGAUGGCAGGGAAGAGGAUAAUGCAGAUGCCAAUAAUGGAGGACAAGAAGAUCUGAACUGGAACGCCCUGGAGUGGGACCGAGCAGCAGAGGAGCUGACCUGGGAAAGGAUGCUGGGACUGGAUGGCUCUCUAGUUUUCCUGGAGCAUGUGUUCUGGGUGGUGUCUCUAAACACUCUCUUCAUCCUGGUCUUUGCUUUCUGCCCAUAUCAUAUCGGCCAUUUCUCAGUAGUUGGACUGGGCUUUGAGGACUAUAUCAAAGCCUCCCACUUUGAUGGCCUCAUCACCACCAUCCUAGGAUACAUCCUGCUGGCUGGAGCUCUCAUAGUUUGCCAUGCAUUGGCUUCAUUAGUGAGGUUCCAGCGCUCCAGACGCCUCCUGGGUGUCUGCUACAUUGUUGUCAAGGUGUCCCUUCUGGUUGUCAUGGAGAUUGGCCUGUUCCCUCUGAUUUGUGGUUGGUGGCUUGACAUUUGCUCACUGGAAAUGUUUGAUGCAACUCUUAAAGACAGAGAGCAGAGUUUUGACUCAGCCCCUGGUACUACUAUGUUCCUCCACUGGCUGGUCGGCAUGGUCUAUGUCUUCUACUUUGCCUCCUUCAUCCUUCUGCUCAGAGAGGUGCUCCGGCCAGGUGUGUUGUGGUUCCUGAGGAACUUGAAUGAUCCAGACUUUAACCCAGUUCAAGAGAUGAUCCACCUGCCCAUCUAUAGACACCUACGGAGGUUUAUCCUCUCUGUGGUUGUCUUUGGCUCCAUAGUUCUCUUAAUGCUUUGGCUUCCCAUCAGAAUUAUUAAGCUUCUUUUCCCAGCCUUCCUUCCCUAUAACGUCAUGCUAUACAGUGAUGCCCCGGUCAGUGAGCUGUCUCUGGAGCUGCUGCUACUUCAGGUUGUUCUGCCGGCACUCCUGGAACAGGGACACACUCGCCAGUGGCUCAAACGACUCGUCCACGCCUGGACGUUCACUGCUGGAUACAUGCUUGACCUUCACUCCUACCUGCUGGGUGAUCAUGAAGAUGAUGAGGAUCAGCCAAACAACAACCUACCUGGUCGCCUUAACAACAACAGAAUCCCCGGCCUCGGUGAAGGGCUUCAUGCUGCACAUCAGGCCAUCCUGCAGCAAGGCGGUCCUGUAGGUUUCAGGUCGUAUCACCGGCCCAUCAACUUCCCACUCAAGAUUGUUCUCCUGGUGGUUUUUAUGUGUGUGACGUUGUUACUGGCGAGCUUGAUCUGCCUGACACUGCCAGUCUGUGCAGGUCGCUGGCUGAUGUCCUUCUGGAUGGGCAGUGCGAUGGUUCAUGAGCUCUACACAGCAGCCAGCGGCCUGUACAUCUGCUGGCUGUCCAUCAGAGCCGCCACUGUACUGCUGUCCUGGAUGCCUCAAGGACGCACGGUUAUCAUGCUCAAAGUCCACGAGUGGACGCUCAUGAUCCUGAAGACAGUGGUUGUGGCUGUCAUGUUAGCUGGUGUGAUCCCUCUGCUGUUGGGUUUGCUGUUUGAGCUGGUAAUUGUAGCCCCUCUCCGAGUCCCCUUGGACCAGACGCCACUCUUCUACCCCUGGCAGGACUGGGCUUUGGGUGUGCUUCAUGCAAAAAUCAUUGCUGCCAUCACGCUGAUGGGUCCUCAGUGGUGGCUCAAAACCGUCAUUGAACAGGUGUAUGCUAAUGGUAUCCGAAACAUUGACCUCCAUUUCAUCGUGCGAGGGCUGGCUGCUCCUGUCAUUGGUGUCCUGCUGCUGUCUCUCUGUGUUCCCUACACUAUCUCUAAAGGCAUCACACCACUGCUGGGUGUGCAGCCAGAGAUGCAGACGCUGGUGGAGAGGAGGAUCUAUCCAUUCCUGCUGAUGGUGGUCAUACUAUUGGCCAUCCUGUCCUUCCAGAUCCGACAAUUUAAACGUCUCUAUGAACACAUUAAGAAUGACAAAGAAAGCAAGCUGGAACCCCUGAAAAGUGUAAAUGCUGUCAGCUUAACAAGGGAUUACUGGACAUCAGUAAGUCGUUUUGUACAUGCACUCCUACAUGUAAAAAAUGUGUAUGAAAGCGUUAAACUACUAUCUUAGCACUUUGGAACUGACUUCUCAUUUCAGACUACACUAUUGUAAUAAUGCUGCACUUGCUUAAAUAACCAAUCUAAAAGUCAAGAUGAUUAAAUACAUUUCCUUGAAUUAUAUGAUUUCCAAGUCAAUACAGUGGUAUGAAUAGCUUCUGGUUAAGGACAUGAACUUCAUGUUUUGUUGUGGAGCGGAAAAUAAUUUAAUUCAAAAAUAAAUUUAAAAUUGAGAGUAUUUACAGCCCAAAAAAAUGUUUGUUGGACAUAGGGCUGAAUGAUAUCAUAUUUCUAAGACAAUGGCGAUGUGCGCAGGCCCAGUAGUCACAUUGCAAGGACGUGCAGUAGUCAGGUGACCCGAAACACGUCACAUUCCCUCUUCUGUGCUUUUGGAUUUUAGCCAAAAUUGCUCGUUUCUUGUGUCCUUUACAAACAUGCAGUUAAGUCUGCCUGAAAUCACCAGCAGCCAUCCAUUCAUCCAUCUCCUUCUGCUUAUCUGGAGCCCGGUCGCAGUGGAGCAGGCCAAGCAAGUUGACCCAGACAUCCUUCUCCCCAGUAAUAUUUUUCAACUCUUUCUGGGGGAUCCCGAGGCGUAUCCAGACAGGAUAUAUCUUCCGGACGUGCCAUUUAGGACUAGCCAUUCCUAAAGGAUUGUACUAUGAUACAAAUGAGGUUUGAUAUGAUAAACUGUUCAAACUUAGUGUUAUCAAACAUGAAUCCAGUGAAUAGUAAGCUGUUUCUCAAUUUCUGCCUGAGAAAAUAUUGCAAUCACAGAAAGUGUCUCUGUAGUUUAAUUCACUAAGAGUUUGUUGAAAGAUAUCAUGAUGAAAGAAAGAUAAUUUUCUGCUUUGGCACAAACAGAUCCAGAGAGCAGACUGACUUGUGAGAUUUUGAUGUGUUAUUUGUGAACAACUUCAAACUCAGAUUUGAGAGGACAGACAGAAAAACAUUUUUACAGCCAAACUGAUCUGAAAAGAAAGAAAGGUGAUCAAUAAAGAUUUCAACUAAAAACAACAUCCUGGUCGUAAAAUGUGUGAAACUGUCGACAACGACAAGGGGGCAUAUGUCCAAAAUCCUUAAACAGUGCAUGCUUUCUUUUCUAAUAAGUCAGUUUGAGCUGUUACUGGGGGAUAUGUCUGAACUUUGUAGAGAGGGGCUGGUAUCAUCUCAUUCUCCUGUUUUAGGCAAGAAAAUGGGAGAAGCUUAUUCUGGCCAUGCCAUUCAGUCCGGAGCAACACAAAAUUAACAUACUAGAGCAGUGAUACUCAGCCUGCGGCUCUCAAGCCACAUGUGGCUCUUCAGUGACCAGUUGCGACUCUUUUAAGGAUUACUUUAAAGAAAAAAAUCCUCCUGAAAUCUUUAUAAAGGUGAAAACUGUCAAUAAGUCAUAUCAAUAAAUGUAAUUUGACACAAAGAAGACAGACUUAAACUGCCAAAUUCAAAUGAAAACUUGUAUAUUAUUACUGUCAGAUGUGCACUGGACAGAGGAACAUGCGUAAACGAGUGCUGAGGAAGUCCACUGGUGGUGUGUCUCUUCAUCUUCCAGGGCUGGCUGCUGAGAAACAUCCCCACAGCAUGAUGCUGCCACCACCGGCAUCCCCACAGUAGGGAAGUUGUGUUUGUGGUGAUGUGCAGUGUUUGGUGUCUGCCAAACACAGUGUCUUGACUGAUAGUGCUUUCUUUAUCAGAAAUAAAGAGAAAAGAGAGAGCACAUGCCUUGAUGGAUUUAGAAUGAUAUGUAAACAUGUCUGUGUCCUGUUUUUUUUUUUUUCCCAGGUACCUGGUUGGGCAACGUCUGGUGAACUACGAACGCAAGACAGGCAGGAGCACCUCCUCAUACAGCACCUCCUCAUAGACUGCUGAGAAAGGAGCUGACUGGCUCUGUCCAGCACUCAGAGCUUUGAUCAGCUCCUGUGGUGAAAUAUUUUUAUUUCCUCUGUGCUUGGCUGUCAACUUCAAAGAGAGCCUGUAAACUUUCCACUGCAGUGUAGUCUUCAGAUUCAUCGACAUCUGCUGCUGUCAAAGGUUGGGAGACAAAGACUUUUAAGAGUGAAGACAGAAUAUGUCCAAAAUCUGAACCAGGUUGUUUAACAACCAACAAAGACAGUCAGGGUGAGUUACUGACUGUCCAUCUUCUCUUGUGUUCAAUGCAGCUGGCAUUUGUAGUUUUAGAUGACUUUAUUUUAGAGUUGAAAUGGGGUCAGUUGAGCAUAGAUUUACCUCAGCUUGUGCUUCUCUUUGAAUGUUUUUCAUCUAGAUCAUACUAAGUCUCUGCUAACUGGAUUUUUUUGACAUUUCAGAGCUAUGAAGGAGAAAUUUGGACCGUAGUUAGAGUGCUUCUGUUCCACCUCUCAUCAAAAAAGGUUGUCUGUGAUAAGGAGGGGCAUACGCAAUGUAGCAACAUGGUUUUUCUUUUUCUUUUUUUUUAAGCUGAUUUUAUUAGAAGUGUUUUUGUUGAUUUUUAAGGAGAGAGCUGUUAGUGUUCUGAGGGUUUCUUAGGAGAUGUAGAAAAAGAAGAAAACAUUUUAGACAUCUGGAAACAGCUCAGGACAUGCUGUUCUUGUAGAAGUUCUCCUGUGAUUUUUAAAAAAGAAGAGGUCGUUCUUUAGCAAAUCCGCCUUCACACAAUGAACAAAAAGUGAGGCUUCAACUCUGAAAAUAAAACUGGAUAAGGAGCCUCAGAACAACUCAGAACGUGCCUGUUACAAUCUUUUGAAAUCAUUUCAUUGAAACAUUUAUACAAUAGAGUACAAGAUGAAUAAGCUAACUGAUCCUUCUUAGAGUGAUGUACAAUGAUACACUGAUCUUCACUGGUGACCCAUGAACUACACUGACAGUUUUCAGAGCCAAUCAGCAAUCAUCUGGAGGUCAUCUCUGUCAAAGUAGGGGCACAAGGACAACAUGUAUUAUCUUUAAAGGACACUCCAGUAAUAUAGGAUUGUAUUAUACUGUAGAUAAAGAAGAAAAGAUCAAAACUAAAGCUGCUGAGGACGAGAGAUGAAUUUUAUUUCCUACAAUUCUAAUACAUAUCUAACUUGACUGUGUUCCCACGUUAUGCUCAGUGCCCGGCAAAUCUUCAAAUUUAAGGCUCCAAGUUUGCAGACGAAUGACACUGAAGGCAAAUAUUGUUAUGGCUGCAUAUUCUCUGAUGUGAUAAAACUCCUCCAUUGCUAGAGAACGAUAACAGUCAUGAGCUUUAUUUUCACAGAGCUUGCUGAAAGAAAGGACAUCAGGAAAGAAAUUGGCACAAAUCUGGAAAAAAGUCACACUAGUGUAGGUUCUGUGCAGUUGACGUCAGUCAGCAGUGGAGAACUCCUGUUGGGGGGCAAGAGGGGAUUUCUGCAAAGAGAACUAAGAAAAGGCCACAUUUUGAGCUGAUAAUGCCUAAACCAAGCGUUUGAAGUGAAUAUAAAACACUGUAUUUCUAAGCUACUUUUGUGUCCUGAGAGCAGUGAAAUAUUCAUGCCAAACAAAGUUUGGAAAACUCAAGCAAGCAGGGAUUAAAAAUAUCUAAGGCCUGGAUGAACGAUGUCACACACAGCUCACAUUAUGGUCUAUUUCCACAAAGUGGUUUGAUUUAGUUCAGUACAGUUUUACCAUGAUUUAGCACAUUAAACUCUAAUCUUACCCAUGUUUCCUUAGCUGAUCUUCAUCAAGCCUCGCUUGUUGUGACAGGAGAUCUGUCUCUUUUAAGAGAUGCAGAUCAUUUAGCUCAGCUCAGUAGAGCUGGUUGUUUGGCUCCAGCUCUUCAUUUGGUAACAGUUUGGCUUUUUAGAUGUGGAUCAAAUAACAGUAAAGGAUGCAGGAAAGUAAACUGGUACUCUUAGCGGGAGCUAGCUACGAUGGCUAGAAUAAAAAAGCUGUUGAGUAGAACAAGCUUGUUUGUGAAUGGCACAUCAUUACUCAGUCUCUUGCCCCAUGAGGUUUACUCAGUUGAUGGCACAUCACCGUUUCAAUUAAAAGCAUGUUGAAAUGAGGAAUUUUUACAUGUUAAAGGGGCUCAGCUAGCCUCUUAGCUCAGUCUGAGACUCCUCUAGACUCUUGUCUCCCUUCUGCUAAACAACUAGAUGCUUUAAGGUCUGCUGGAUGGAGCAUUCGGGAUCACGUGAUUGAAAACAACCUAUAUACGCUGCAGUCUGUGUUUUGAAGUUUCCCAGAGGUGUAAAAAGGUCUAAACCAUCUUCCCUUCCAUUCUGCAACUCCAUAACGUAGUUUUUGUGCAGCUGUGUAGCUCUUCUAGUGUCAGAGGUUAGAGCUGUUGUCUUACAGCAACAAGGUUCCUUUCUGUGAAGAGUUUGCAUGUUCUCCCUGUGUGCAUGCUUGGGUUCUCUCUGGGUAUUCCAGCUUCCUCCCACAGACCCAAGGCAUACUUGUUAAUUGUUGACUCUAAGUCAGCGAUAGGUGUGAGUGUGAGCAUGCCUCUUGUGUCAGUGCUGUGACUGACUGGUGACCAGUCUAAGCUUUACCCCGCCUCUCGUCCAUUGACAGCUGAUAGGCUCCAGCCCCCUGCAACCCUGAACAGGACAAACUGUGUAGAAAAUGGCUGGAUAGAUGUUUUCACCAUGGGAAAUAUGCACCUCAGCUAAACUGUCAUUAUGGUAGUUGAGCUCUCAGCCUACAUAUCCAACACAUACACCCACAUAUUUUUAUUUUUUCCCUAUCAUUUUAGAUCUUUUAGCCUGUGCGUAUAAAUAAAUGAUUUACUGCAGAUGUAAUGUGCUGGAAACUCUUGAAAAUUCACCUUGAAAGUGCUUGAAUUCAACUUUCAAAAAGGUGUACGAACCUUGCUCCUUAUCUCCUUGCAUCUGAUUUGUUUCGUGCACAUAAAAACUAUCGUAAAAGUGAGGAUUUGGAUUCCUUAAUCAUUUACUGACUGGAGCUAUUUUCUGUCAGUGACUUUCUGUUGUCUGAACCUGAUUAGGACAAGAAAUAGACAUUAAAGUCUAGAGUAGCAUGUAAUUGUUAUUCCCAAAAUGUCAACCCAUUUCUGUAAAGCUUUAGAAAUUUCACUUCUGUUCAAUCAGAAGCUCUCUGCAUGGAGAUUUGAAGUCAGCGUGUUGGUGUUGUCUCACUUGUGUGCUCACAUUGUCUGUUCUGCUCCACUUACAGGAAAAAAAUGUCUGAUAUUCACUCUCAACAUGUUUCACAGCAAGUUUAAUAAGUCACAUUUCAAGGCCCACUGAAGAAGAGCAUCUCUUACAUUUAAUAUGUGGAAUGAAAUGGUGCAACAGCUCCACAAAGACAAAAAAAAAACGUUUUCAGACAGACAUGAGUCCUCUUGAAAACUUUUCUGCUGCCAAUGAUGAAUCCAGUUCUUGCUCCUAAAAUUCUGAGAGAGAUGAGUUCACUCUCAAGGUCUGUUUUUUAAAAGGUGAAGUAAAAAUUAAGAUUUUUUUAUAUAAUAGCUUGAAUGUGUUGCACUUUAAAUCACUGUUUGCUAUAGUUUAAUAAGAAUCCACUAACAGUCUUCACAAACUUACUUUAUUGGUGUUAGCUUCCCACUGAGACAUCAGUAUUCACUGUGGUGACUGCACAAUGAUUUUAACUUAAGAGAUGUUUUUCAGUUUCACACCUGUAUCUGUAUCUGCGUUUGUGUUCAUGGUGUUUAUUAGGAGUUUGGUACAUCGACACUGCUUUUCUAUUUUAUGAUAUUGAUUUACAUUAACUCUAGAGCUGCUGUGUGGAAUGCUCACAUCAUAUGUAUGAAGCUAUUAAGUGACCUUUUAGUGUAUAAUGAACUGAGCUGGACACUUCAAAUUUUGGUCUUUAAUUUCAAUUUGUAGAGGCAAAUGAUUUCUAUUUUUAUAUGUUAAAGAACAUUGGCAUGUACUGUAACAUACAGUGAACUACUUCAAAGGUCUAUUCAUUGUUGGUUCAUGAAUAUGAAACAAUAAUAAAUAGUUUGAAUGAC